CGAACCCAGGGCCUUGCACUUGCUAGGUAUUAUGAUAAUUUUUAUAAAAGUGGUCACAGUCCAUUAAUAGAGUUGAAAUUUCAUUUCACUAAGACACUCCCAACAUUAAAAACACUUCAAUUUCUAUUACAUAAAAUUGGGGGUGGGAGUUGUUCAGUUGGCAGUGCCUGCUGCGCAAGCACGGGAACCUGAGCUCCAUCCCUAGGACCCUCAGAGGGAUGCGGCUGUGGUGACUCGCAAUCCUUGCACUGACGCAGCGCCCGCACACGCACAUCCCUGCUCCCUUUCUCUUUUUGUACUGACUUUUCUUGCCUUUGAGUUGUGAACCUAGCCUUCAAUGGCUGAGCUGUCGGUACAGACUUACUAUCUACUUUUGCUAGUCUUACACAUGUGCUAUACUCUCACGGGCAGAAAGGGCUGACAAAGCCUUGGACCUGCAUUAUCAGAGCAACGCUGUGCAGUCUAUGCCAUCAGAUUCGUUUCUGGAAGCAAGAGAGAACAAAGCAAAGGCAUAAGCUCAAGUCUCCGUGGGCUCCAGCCUGCACUACGUACACAGUGAGACCCAGGCUCGCAAAGGACAGAGAAAGUCUACUGGUGACAUAGCUAGGUUGGUGCAGUGCCCGCCAGGCAAGCAUGAAGCUCUAGGUUCAAUCUCCAGUACCACAUAAACUGGGCGUGAAAGCAUACACUAUAAUUUAGAGACUAGAGGUUGGAGGAUCAGAAGUUCUAGGUCUUUGACCUCACAGUAGGUUCAAGGUUAGCCUGGGACACGCAAGACCCAACAAACAAACAAAAUAAGCCUACCUAAAAUAUUUGUGCAAAAAAACCUUUAGAGUAUAUAAAUGACAGGGCUGGUAAAAUGCUCAAACUCUAAGCAUAAGCCUAUAAUGUCUAUGAAGAAUAAUCGAGUUAGAAGGCAGUAAAAUAAUUCUUCAUUCAUAGACAGGUUAGACCUAGAGUAACACAAACAGUCAGUGUGGCCAUUCUCCAUCUUCCCGCCAGGCGGUCAACAGAAUGGGAACAAAAGUUAUCAACUAAAUAGUGUAAGCCAUUUUACUUAACACGGUACAAUGGUUUGUACAAUGGUUCUGGAUCUGAGAAGAAAUGGAUUCUCUGUAAUUUUAAAACGUUUUCAACUUUAUAAAAUGACUUAACUUCAACGGCACUCACCCUUACGUGACACAGCUCGCAUACGAGAGGCCACGUGAUGCACUUUCCAGAGCAACUGAUCUUUCAGUUCUCUCUAAAAUCAGGCCAUGAUGGUUUCUUGUUAAAAUGAAUAUAAAAAUUUAAAGAAACAACUCACAGGGAAGGCAGUGAGGUAUGGGCAAACUCCAAAACGUUAGGAACUUCUUGUUUAGUAAAAGCUGUACUGUUAAAUGUGUGUUUAGUGAAAGCCGUUCUAUUAAACAGUUAUGAGCCUGCGACCUACAUACGCUCAGAUUCCUGUUUCGCCAGUACAUAGAUGCUUGAGACUUACUAAAGAACUUAAACCUCUCCCUUCCCCCAACCCGUGUGAGUGUGUGUGUGUGUGUGUGUGUGUGUGUGUGUGUGUGUGUGUGUGUGUACAGCAUAUGCACUUAUGUGUGCAGGUACACGUGCACACGUGAAGCCUGAGGAGGCUGUCAGGUGACCUCCUCUCCCACUCUCUGCUCUAUUCCUUUGAGGCAGGGUUUCUCCCUGAACAGAGCUCAUGUCUCCAGCUAUGUGGUGGCCAGCGAGCUGCAGUCGUCCUUCUAGCUCCAUGCUCCAGGGCUGGGUCAUAGGCACGUGAGAGACCACACUGACUUAUAGGUGCUAGGACCUGGAUCCAGGUCUUCACGGUUGUGCAGCAAGGACUCUUAGCCAGAAGCGAACUCUCCUAGACUUUAAAAUUUCAAAAGGAUUUCACAAGGAAUUAAUUUUAUAAAGCAAAAUAUAAUUGGUUACAGGAAUAAUUAUUUCCUACAGUCCUUACAGUUAAUUUUGUGUUUGUGAGUAUAUAUUAAGUAUUCAGUAGAGAAUAAUUGAAUGAAACAAAUAAGUUUUCUAUACUAGGGUAUAAUGUAUAUUCCUAUGUUUAUGAAAACAAAAUUAACAGCCUUGCUUAUAACCAGUGAUUCAUGAAAAAAGUAGGUAUUAAGCGUUAAUGGUAUAACAAGGGCUGGAGAUCCAAAUAUGCUAUGGUAGACGAAGUUCUCCCUCAUGAAACUUAUAGUCUAGGAAAACAGCAGAGAAAACAGACCAAACACUAGACACUGUCAUAGUGCUUCCAGGGAAACACUAGACACUGUCAUAGUGCUUCCAGGGAAACACUAGACACUGUCAUAGUGCUUCCAGGGAAACACUAGACACUGUCAUAGUGCUUCCAGGGAAACACUAGACACUGUCAUAGUGCUUCCAGGGAAACACUAGACACUGUCAUAGUGCUUCCAGGGAAACACUAGACACUGUCAUAGUGCUUCCAGGGAAACAAAAGGCAGCGUUGUUACGUCACAGCAAGGGGAGGGUGAGUUAAGAGUUAGAAAGGCCUGCUUGAGGAGGGACAGGUGAGACAGAACCUAAACAAGCUAUCUGCAAGAAUGAGGAAAAAAUAUUAAACCAGUUGGACAAAUAAAGCAAAAGCACAAAGAGGAUGGCGGGACCUAACUUGGUACAUCUGCGUUGAGGUUUGGUCUGUUGCUAUGCAUCGAAUACUUAAUACUGGCCCCCAAGAUCUGGUGGCCUUGGAGACGAGGAAAUCCCCAAGUACACCAAGGCAUGCUAUGUAACCUUGCCCCCAAGUUAUCUCUGAUGGGUCAAUAAAGAUGCCUACAGCUUGUAGAUGGGCAGAAGAGAGGAAGGUGGGGCUUUUGUUCCAGGGCUUGGGAUCUGAGGCAGAGCUGAGGAGGAGGAGGAGGAACAAGAAGAGGAAGAAGAGGAGGAGGAAGAAGAGGAGUGGGGGAAAAAGAAGAAAGGGAGGAAGAGGAAGAACGAAGAGAGUGAGGAAAGGAAGAUGCCAUAGGGCCAUGAGGACUGGCCAGUUGGAGUAAAAGCAGUCCAGGUAGAACAUGGCAAUUUAUAUCUCAGAGUUACUGGCAGGGAAGUAGACAAAAUAGCUUAGUGGUUAAUAUCUGUCCAGCUCUAGUGAUGUCUAAAGCUUAUUAUAAAUGUCAAAGUUUUGUGUCUUUUAUCUGGGAACUAAAUGAUCUAAGGUGGGGUAGAAACCCCCAAUUGAUAUUAAUUUUAACUAUAACAUAUAUGAGAAAGGAAACAGGCCCUGGUGGCAGCAGCUGCCAAGGGACAAAGUGACAUGGAUGAAGCAAUGGUAGGAUGACUGACCCAACAUGGAGGGUGCUACAGGCCCAGGAAAAGCUAAUUCAUUCAAGGGAACGGGGGGGGGGGGGGGGAGGAUUAAAGUAAAACCUCUCCCAGUAAGUGGUUGGGUGAGGUUCUGCUUAAGCACACUCCGCCUCUGCUUACGGUUUGUUCCAGCAGAAAACACAAAGCCAAAGCUGAUGCUACCAGCUGGCCGAACAGCACCGGAGCCUGCACAUAUCACACCCUCGCUGGCGGCACUCCAGCUCCUCUGGUAAGGAUGAUUCGUCUCAUUCUGAGCUGAUUCUAGUGAGCCACCUACUGGCUCAGGGACAUUCGACUUCUUACCCUACAGAUAUCUGCACAACUUAUAACUGGAAAAGGAAACCUGGAUGGAAAUUCCUGCUGGAUGGAUUCACUGGUCAACUCUACAUAGCAAAGGUAGAACUUCAGACUAGUUAGCACAUGGCGCACAGGGCAAGAAGCUACUGAACCAAUGUUAUCCGUCACAGCAGCAUGAGCCGCUCAUGAGCGGGAAGCCUAAGGAACUCUGCAACUCAAAUGUUCAGCCUGGCACACUUCAGGAUCUCCAUGUUCACUGUCAGCAUAUUACAAUUACCAAAGGGGACCUGUACUUCUAUCAACGAUCUCAUUCCCUGCUUUUCACUAGAACCACCUCAGGCCCACGAAGACACGAUGCCCCAUACGCCACCUGCAGAAUGUCUCUGUGUCGCUGUAGCGUGUGCAUCAGGGCUGCGUUCAGGGAGGGCACCCCUGCACUUCUCCCCAAGUAGCUGGUUAUUGGCCUGCAGUCUGGCUAGGUCUGGAGGAGUGCUCAGAGUACCUGCGGAAGAUGCCUCUACUGUUUCCUGCUUCACUGACACAGCUUUGAUGUCUGCUCUGCUCACAUAGGUUUCUCUGGCUUCACGAAUUCAGGACAAGACUCGUGGAAACACCCUGGGUCUUGGUGUCUUCAGUCUGCAGCCUGGCGUCUGGCACAAAGUACAUGAGCACACUUACAGCUCCCAGAGGGCACAAAUAAACACUAAGAACCCAGAGGAGAGAAGGUGACUUUUGACUGGGGAAGAAGUUUCUGGAAGAUUUUAAACUCUGAACAAUAGCCAAAGCUUCAUCUCCCCGCUUGGUAACAGAAAAUAAGGACAAAAAAGCAUGAAAAGAAAAAUAUCAAAUUUUCUUAUCACCUUGAGAAUGAGGCAUUUAACUUUAAAAUAACAAGCUCUGAACAGAGACUUACUCUGGGUGUUUAUUAAGGUUUAUGUAAGCCUUUACUUUUAGUAAGUUGCUUCCUGGCCAAGAAAAAGAAGACUGUGAACAAAGACAGAAGACUUAGUAAUCAGCUUUCCCAGGGGCAGUAGAAGACAGACACAAGACUCCAGAGAAGGCAGGAUACAGUGGGAUUAAAAAGGAAGAGAGACCAGGUAGGACACAGUCAAUGACAGAGGAAUUAGAGGAAUUACAAUCACCACAGCGGGAAAUAAGUCGGUGGGGGGGGGGAGUAAGCAGCAAAAUGUGACUCACUGGUCCCCUGGACGGGGCUCAGCUACGGUCAGUGAGGAAAAGCUGAGUGUGGCAGGUGUGUGACUACUCUGGGUUAUAUCUGCAAUGACGAGAUGGAGAAGAGAGGUGGUAGUUCAGUGGUUGGUUUGUCCAUCCACAUAAACCAGGACAUAUCAGCUGAAAACACGCCUUGGUCAGACUGCCUUAAGCAAAUCUAUAGGACAUGUUUUGGUUAAUAACUGAAGUGGGAGGGUCCAGGCCACCAUGCAUGGUGCCAUCCCUUAGGCAGGUGACCUGGUCUGUGUAAGAAAGCAGGCUGAGCAAGCAUGAAGCGUGAGCCAGUGAACAGCAGCUCCCAGGGCUUCCGCAUCAGCUCCUGCUGAGUUCCUGUCUUGGCUUCCCUCAAUAGACUGUGACCCAGGAUACGUAAGCCAAAUCAACCUUUCUCUCCCAAGGUUGCUUUUGGUCAGUCUUUACAUAGCUACAGUCCUCCUGAGGACUGGAUUUUGGGAUACUUGGUAUGUACGUCAAAGGGUGUAUGCAAGAGACUUAGGAAUAUCACUGAAAGAUAAGGCUGUAGGUCGAGGCUAGGGAGAAAGACAAAUGUAAAAAGGUUAAUAGUCUAAGGAAAUAAAUGAAGGUAAAGAAUUGUGAAGUCACAGUGAGUGAGUGCAGAGUGUGGUGGGAAUAUAUAAAAAUCUGAUCAAUUAAUUUUGAUUUUGACAGAUGGUAUAAUAAAUUCUUCUUGUUGAAUGCAUGUCUCUCCAGAUAUGUCAUACUCAAAUAGAAGGUAACAAUUUUUUAAGAAAAAUAAACAGGUGCAUUCUUUUAUUAGCAACUCUGAAAAUGAAUCUCGCAAGGUCCAUUUGCAGAGGGGGUAUGAAGAUGAAGUGACAAAAGGUUGUAUUAGAGAGCAGAGUUGCAGUAUUAACUUUUAUGAUCCAUAACCAAUAAAACUACACACCCAAUCAGUAGAUCAACAUGGGAAACUAUCAUACCCAGUCCUGAAGCCCAGCAUGACUUUUUUCUCACAACUAUUUACAUUUUUGUGUGCUUUUUACACACACACACACACACACACACACACACACCCCUUGACACUUCUUUGUAUAUGUGCUAGGAGGGUAUAUGGUUAAAAAUAAGUCAGUGUAAUUCAUCAUACUAAUGUAUGUGGAAGACAGAGAUUGAAGUGUGUCCUCUCUGAAUCAUUUUUGACCUUGGAGCUCGUGGAUUCAUCAAGGCUGGCCAGGGAGCUCCAGGAGUCUUCCCCUCUGCCUUCCCAGGGCUGGGUUAUGGAUGUGCCUCUGUGCCCAGACUUCUGUGUGAAUACCAGGGAUCUGAACUCAAGUCAUCAUGCAUGUUGUUAACUGUGCAACUUCCCCAGUCAUUAUCUUGAUAUUUUGAUUUGGAAAAGAAACUGUGCUCAUUAUAUAGGAAGUUUAGAAAACAUAGAAUCUUGUUUGCCCUUUUUUACAUUAAGGUAAAACUUCAAAUAUCUUAAUGAAUUACUGGUGAUUUUUGUUUUGUCUUUUGAGCCACGUUCUCAUAGCCCACCCUGACUUGGAGCUUGCUGUUUAACUAGGGUGUCCCCUAAUCCAUGCUCCUCUGCCUCACCAUUCACCUCCUAAGGACAGGGAUUCAAGCACUAUGACCAAUCGGCAACAUUUUACACAGGGAGCCAGAUAGUAAAACUUAGCUUUAACAGACCUAAAGGUCUCUGUCACAAGCAUUCAACUGCCUUUCCUCUACUGAGAUGGUUGUAGGGUUUGUCUUUGUUGGUAUGGUAAUCAGACUGACCUAUGUUCAAAUGCUCUAAGAGAAUACAACCAAGACGUGUAGUGACAAUUUUGGAAUUUUGGUUUCUUUAAAAAAUCCAGAAAUAUUAUAAGAAUGUAUUUUCAUUUUAAUCCCAGGUAUGGGAUGUGUGGCUGCUUUAGGGUGUCCACAGCAGCCGACUAUGAUUUGCCUCAUGCUUUGGCCAGGGGCAUGAUGUUGCCAGCAGCCAGCAGUGUCUGCUGUUGUAUGAUGUUUGAAAUCCUGGGGUCUUUCCAGAGCGCAUAUAACUGCUAGGGCCCUGAGAGGCGGGUGGGUUGUUGGUGGAGGUUUGUUAGGUUCUUGUGCGCAAAGAUGAAACGACCAGAAGAAAUCAGAUCUCCUAACAACAAACAUCAAACCUGUCACACUCCUAAUCAGCAGGAAGUCCAGGGAGAACAUCGCCCCUUCGCUCUCCAUCCUUUUUUGUCUCCUACCUAGUGUUGUGGGGUUAAAAGGGUAGAAGAAAAGGGGUGAAGAAGGGUGGAAGAAAACCCACAAAGUAGCCAAGAUUGGCUACACAGACUAUUUGUAAAGCAUGGUUGUGGUUGUAUGGCAAAAAAAAAAAAAAAAAAAAAAAUUAACUUAUCAAUUCUGCUUUAGCAACUUUAUUGGACUUAUAAACUAAAUAUGUACUAAAUAAAAUGAGCUGACAUCAUUUCUGUUCCAGGUGCUGAGUUAAAAACCACAGAUAAAACACAUAACUGAGUUUAAAAGCUGG
rnacentral:sRNA from 1 species